rnacentral:rRNA from 1 species
GGGGGACGCAGUAGGAUAGGCGAAGCGUGCGAUUGGAUUGCACGUCUAAGCAGUAAGGCUGAGUAUUAGGCAAAUCCGGUACUCAUUAAGGCUGAGCUGUGAUGGGGAGAAGACAUUGUGUCUUCGAGUCGUUGAUUUCACACUGCCGAGAAAAGCCUCUAGAUAGAAAAUAGGUGCCCGUACCGCAAACCGACACAGGUAGUCAAGAUGAGAAUUCUAAGGUGAGCGAGCGAACUCUCGUUAAGGAACUCGGCAAAAUGACCCCGUAACUUCGGGAGAAGGGGUGCUCUUUAGGGUUAACGCCCAGAAGAGCCGCAGUGAAUAGGCCCAAGCGACUGUUUAUCAAAAACACAGGUCUCUGCUAAACCGUAAGGUGAUGUAUAGGGGCUGACGCCUGCCCGGUGCUGGAAGGUUAAGAGGAGUGGUUAGCUUCUGCGAAGCUACGAAUCGAAGCCCCAGUAAACGGCGGCCGUAACUAUAACGGUCCUAAGGUAGCGAAAUUCCUUGUCGGGUAAGUUCCGACCCGCACGAAAGGCGUAACGAUUUGGGCACUGUCUCAACGAGAGACUCGGUGAAAUCAUAGUACCUGUGAAGAUGCAGGUUACCCGCGACAGGACGGAAAGACCCCGUGGAGCUUUACUGUAGCCUGAUAUUGAAAUUCGGCACAGCUUGUACAGGAUAGGUAGGAGCCUUUGAAACGUGAGCGCUAGCUUACGUGGAGGCGCUGGUGGGAUACUACCCUAGCUGUGUUGGCUUUCUAACCCGCACCACUUAUCGUGGUGGGAGACAGUGUCAGGCGGGCAGUUUGACUGGGGCGGUCGCCUCCUAAAAGGUAACGGAGGCGCUCAAAGGUUCCCUCAGAAUGGUUGGAAAUCAUUCAUAGAGUGUAAAGGCAUAAGGGAGCUUGACUGCGAGACCUACAAGUCGAGCAGGGUCGAAAGACGGACUUAGUGAUCCGGUGGUUCCGCAUGGAAGGGCCAUCGCUCAACGGAUAAAAGCUACCCCGGGGAUAACAGGCUUAUCUCCCCCAAGAGUUCACAUCGACGGGGAGGUUUGGCACCUCGAUGUCGGCUCAUCGCAUCCUGGGGCUGUAGUCGGUCCCAAGGGUUGGGCUGUUCGCCCAUUAAAGCGGUACGCGAGCUGGGUUCAGAACGUCGUGAGACAGUUCGGUCCCUAUCCGUCGUGGGCGUAGGAAAUUUGAGAGGAGCUGUCCUUAGUACGAGAGGACCGGGAUGGACAUACCUCUGGUGUACCAGUUGUCGUGCCAACGGCAUAGCUGGGUAGCUAUGUGUGGACGGGAUAAGUGCUGAAAGCAUCUAAGCAUGAAGCCCCCCUCAAGAUGAGAUUUCCCAACUUCGGUUAUAAGAUCCCUCAAAGAUGAUGAGGUUAAUAGGUUCGAGGUGGAAGCAUGGUGACAUGUGGAGCUGACGAAUACUAA